AAGCUCACACCAAGACUCAAGGGCAGACUCAAGAGAAGUCACUGGAUCUCUUUGUCCCUGCUUCUAAUGUAGCUACAUUGAAAAAUCUCCUUCUGCUCCUUAUUGUUACUUGUUUGCUUAACUUAUCAUUUGUUUGUUUUUUUGGAAGGUGAGGAAACUUGGGUUAUUACAGCUGUCAAGGCUGAGGCUCUGGCCCCAAUGACUCCAGGAACAACACUACUGAAAAAUCUAAUGCAAUCAAGUCAAGAGGGUGUGAGCUUGGAAGAUGAAGGCUGACAGCUGAAGGCUGAAGGAUUCUGUCAAGACAACGACCAUGAUACCGGCUCACCAAAAAAACGAGGCUGCUAGUGUCUACCUCUUCGGGAGAGAUGGUCCACUCUUGCCCUACUGGGGAUUCCUAUCCCAGAAAACACAUCCUGAAUGUCUUCUCUCCUGUCUGGGAACUGGAAAUGGCUACUCAUCUUCACAAUCUUUACCAGCACCCAGCCUCCUGCCAGUGAUGGCAUGGGAGGUCAGAGGACCACAGAACCCAUCAAUUCCCUCCUGAAUAAAACACAAGCAGCUUAGUAGAAAGCUCCAACAAGACGCAGUGGAUAUAAUGGACCAGUCCUUCAACAGGUCUCGGGCUCUAAGUGUCAGGCAUUCACCAUAUCAUCCCAUAAUUUCUAUCUCUGUUCUAGAAAGGAAUAAGGAAUGGGGUGUGUGUAGAAUUGGCCUCUACAGCUCUUGGUAGAAUUGCCAGCAUUAUCAAUUCUUUUUUCUGGGGACUGAGAAAAGGUUGGGGAGGGAGAGAAAGAAUGGACAACUUUGGUUGACAAACUGAGCAUCAGAUUCUAUGAUUGAUAAAAACGACCAGUAUUGUCAUUGAACAUGUAAUGUUUAAGCCUACAGCAAAGAAAAGAGUGUUGAACCCCAGGGUUUUGUUAAGGAUAAAUAUAGAUUUUUGUUAGGCUUUUUAAAAUAAUGAGGCUAAGUUAUUAAUACCCAUGAUUUCCAAUGUAAUUAGCUGCUGGGAAUAAAUGAGUGGGAAAGUUGAAGUAGAUAGUUCUAAGACUUGUCUAACAUGUAGACACAGGCAUGGCCCCCCACACAAAAUUACCAUUUAAAAAUACAAGAAGGGCCCUGCCUCCCAUUGAACCCUGCAAUCUAUAAGUCCUAUUCUGCCCUACACAUCCAACCUCCCCCUGUGGCACAAGCAACUCCUGAAGGUAAAGACACCAUCUGCAUAAUUUGGAGGGAGAGGUGAGUGAUUGGUCUCCUAGCUGGAUAGCCCCAUCUCUAGUCCUUAGGUCCUAGGGCACAUCCCAUGCACCUCCCCCACCCAUCACAGCC
rnacentral:lncRNA from 1 species